rnacentral:rRNA from 1 species
GGGAUAACACUUGGAAACAGGUGCUAAUACCGCAUAACCAUAGUUACCGCAUGGUAGCUAUGUAAAAGGUGGCUAUGCUACCGCUUUUGGAUGGGCCCGCGGCGCAUUAGCUAGUUGGUGGGGUAAAGGCUUACCAAGGCAAUGAUGCGUAGCCGAACUGAGAGGUUGAUCGGCCACAUUGGGACUGAGACACGGCCCAAACUCCUACGGGAGGCAGCAGUAGGGAAUCUUCCACAAUGGGCGAAAGCCUGAUGGAGCAACGCCGCGUGGGUGAAGAAGGUCUUCGGAUCGUAAAACCCUGUUGAUAGAGAAGAAAGUGCGUGAGAGUAACUGUCCACGUUUCGACGGUAUCUAACCAGAAAGCCACGGCUAACUACGUGCCAGCAGCCGCGGUAAUACGUAGGUGGCAAGCGUUAUCCGGAUUUAUUGGGCGUAAAGGGAACGCAGGCGGUCUUUUAAGUCUGAUGUGAAAGCCUUCGGCUUAACCGGAGUAGUGCAUUGGAAACUGGGAGACUUGAGUGCAGAAGAGGAGAGUGGAACUCCAUGUGUAGCGGUGAAAUGCGUAGAUAUAUGGAAGAACACCAGUGGCGAAAGCGGCUCUCUGGUCUGUAACUGACGCUGAGGUUCGAAAGCGUGGGUAGCAAACAGGAUUAGAUACCCUGGUAGUCCACGCCGUAAAC